rnacentral:lncRNA from 1 species
AUGUCACCGAGGGGAGGACAGGACAGGCUGGCCCCGGAGCCUGCUGGCACCCCUGCGGGCUGUCGUGCGGCUUGCGUUGAAAACAUCCGUGACAGCCACGGGGCACAGGGCCUUUUUCCGGCCCUCCCGUGGCAGCGCAGGAGCAGGGCGAUGGCAAAGCCUCCUGCCUCUCCGCGCACCCCUCAGCGCACCCCGGGGCACGCACGGGGGCAGAGCAGCACCACCUUCAGCUGCACCCCCUGCCCCGCGGCCCUUCCUGCAGCCGGCUGGGCUCCCCGGGCCUGCCCGUCCUGGCCCCCCUGUGGGCAGGGUUGUGGCGGAGCACAGGGACGCUGUCCCCAGGCACAGCGCAGGCCUUGCGCUGGCGCUGUCCCCGGCCACGGGGCAGUGCAGGGAGGGACGGGCUGCGCCUGCCUGCUGCGGGGCACGGCUCGGCUCUGCCGGGGCGGCGUGGCGGCAGCUGCCAGCCUGUCCCUUGCUGACCCCGUCCCCUCCCCGCAGCAGGGACGUGGUGUUUCUCGCGGCUCCCGGCCUUCCUGUGGGUGCAGGCGCUCCCCGAGGCAGGUGCAGGGUAGGAGGAGGACGUGGGGCUGCCUCUGUCCUGUUCCCAUGCUCUGGUCGUUGAACCAGGGGGGUGCCAAAAUCACAGGUGGCCUGGCCCUCCGGGUGCAUGCUGCCCAUCAGGCUGCCCUGGGGGGGCCCAGCAGCCUCGCUCCCCCCGCAGCCCCCAGCUGGUGGCUGUGCUCAGCCAGCUGUGCCUCCCUCUGGCUCCAUCCCGCUGCCAGGGCUGGCUGCCACGCUCCAGCCCUCCCCUCCUGCCCUGCUCCCUGCACUGCAGCACCCGGGGGCACCCUGCAGCGCGAGGGGACGGCAGCUGGGGCCGGAGCGCUCUGUGCGCUGGGGGAAGCUGAGCCCAGAGCGCGGCCGUGCCCCCGCACCACUGCUGCUGCCAGCGUGCCUCCCGCCCUGGGGCCCCUGCGGGCAGCACCUGGCCAUGCCGGGGCUCCGGCUGCACGCCACGGGCCGAGCCCAAGCGCCUUCCGUGCUGGCAGGCAGGCGCGGGGCACGGAGCCACCCCAGCCACAUCCCCGCGGAAGCACCGCCGUCCCCCGCCUGUGCCCGAGCCAGCUCCUUGGAGCCUGUGGGUCUGCGCAGCCGCCUCGUCCCCCGGCACAGCGCGUGGGGCUGGAACCCCGGUCCCCCCUCACCGGGGGGGGGGGGAACGCAGCCCCCCGUCUGCAGCCCUAA